rnacentral:rRNA from 1 species
CGCCAGACUCCUACGGGAGGCAGCAGUGGGGAAUAUUGCACAAUGGGGGAAACCCUGAUGCAGCGACGCCGCGUGAGUGAAGAAGUAUUUCGGUAUGUAAAGCUCUAUCAGCAGGGAAGAAAAUGACGGUACCUGACUAAGAAGCCCCGGCUAACUACGUGCCAGCAGCCGCGGUAAUACGUAGGGGGCAAGCGUUAUCCGGAUUUACUGGGUGUAAAGGGAGCGUAGACGGCAUGGCAAGUCAGAUGUGAAAGCCCGGGGCUCAACCCCGGGACUGCAUUUGAAACUGUCAGGCUGGAGUGCAGGAGAGGUAAGUGGAAUUCCUAGUGUAGCGGUGAAAUGCGUAGAUAUUAGGAGGAACACCAGUGGCGAAGGCGGCUUACUGGACUGUAACUGACGUUGAGGCUCGAAAGCGUGGGGAGCAAACAGGAUUAGAUACCCGUGUA